rnacentral:rRNA from 1 species
UACGGAGGGUGCAAGCGUUGUCCGGAAUCACUGGGCGUAAAGGGCGCGUAGGCGGCUCAUGAAGGCUGUGGUGAAAGUUCGGGGCUCAACCUCGGAUCGGCCGUGGCGACUCGUGGGCUGGAGCACUGUAGAGGCGGGUGGAAUUCCGGGUGUAGCGGUGGAAUGCGUAGAGAUCCGGAAGAACACCAGUGGCGAAGGCGGCCCGCUGGGCAGUGGCUGACGCUGAGGCGCGACAGCGUGGGGAGCAAACAGG